rnacentral:lncRNA from 1 species
AUGAUGGCCCCCAUUUCCCAAAUGCCUACUAUAUUUCAGGAUUUCUCAGCAAGGACUGGUAGAACUUGACUUGACUGCCAGCUUUUAUCUGGACCGGACUUCACAAAGCAGGGUGAAAGAAUUUGCAUGAUCUCCAUGGUGGCUAAUCAUAUAAUUUCCAGUUUCAGCAGCUGGCACCAGCUAUUUGCUCCCCCGCUACCCAAGCAAUUCUAGUAACUGUGAGAUAUCCUAUGAAUCACAGAACAAAUGCCCAACUCCUUUCUACAGUCACGGGGUCAGAGUACACAGCCAACCCACUAGCAGAGCUGGAGUUAUGGUUUGAGCCAAAGUACAACAAGGAAGGAGGAAGCCCCAACCUACCCCGGACAUGCCCUGAAUGACACAGCCAUUUAGGGCCUGCCAAAGAUGCCAUUCUGUUUGCAAACACAUAUUACCUGCCAUAUCACUCAACAAAAUAAUUCCAUCAGAAGGCCUGAAGGCAAAUGACUAAU